rnacentral:misc_RNA from 1 species
CACCACUCAAGCCUCGCUUGGUAUUGGGCGUCGCGAGUCUCUCGCGCGCCUCAAAGUCUCCGGCUGAGCGGUUCGUCUCCCAGCGUUGUGGCAACUAUUCGCAGAGGAGUUCGAGUCGUCGCGGCCGUUAAAUCUUUCAAA